ACGAACGCUGGCGGCGUGCUUAACACAUGCAAGUCGAACGGAAAGGCCCUGCUUUUGUGGGGUGCUCGAGUGGCGAACGGGUGAGUAACACGUGAGUAACCUGCCCUUGACUUUGGGAUAACUUCAGGAAACUGGGGCUAAUACCGGAUAGGAGCUCCUGCUGCAUGGUGGGGGUUGGAAAGUUUCGGCGGUUGGGGAUGGACUCGCGGCUUAUCAGCUUGUUGGUGGGGUAGUGGCUUACCAAGGCUUUGACGGGUAGCCGGCCUGAGAGGGUGACCGGCCACAUUGGGACUGAGAUACCGCCCAGACUCCUACGGGAGGCAGCAGUGGGGAAUAUUGCACAAUGGGCGGAAGCCUGAUGCAGCAACGCCGCGUGCGGGAUGACGGCCUUCGGGUUGUAAACCGCUUUCGCCUGUGACGAAGCGUGAGUGACGGUAAUGGGUAAAGAAGCACCGGCUAACUACGUG
rnacentral:rRNA from 1 species